rnacentral:lncRNA from 1 species
UAAACGAACAACUCAGAAAUAAACGAACAACUCAAAAAUAAACCAUCAACGCAGAAAUAAACAAUCAACUCAGAGUUAAACGAUCAACUCAGGAAUAAACGAUCAACUCAGAAAUAAACGAUCAACUCAGAAAUAUACACGAACUCAGAAAUAAACGAACAACUCAGAAAUAAACGAAGAACUCAGAAAUAAACGAACAACAUCCCCAGGGUGUCGAGCAGCAGUACGCGCCCACCAUGUACCAUACAUUACAGAAGUGCAGACGACAUAAUGUUUACCGCGGCAUUCAAAAUGGCGGACACCUUGAACCGCUUCACGCGAUGAACACGUAGAAAAAACGGAGGGUAAAAACGUAGUGUUUUUUCGUCGACGACCUCCGAAGCCAGAAAGAAGUCUAUGCGAAAGGACGAUUCUAGUAACAUGGAAGGGAAGCCUGUGAUGAAACAAGAUCCUUCCGAGAAGUAAUCAUGAAGCGGAAAGUACAACUUUAAUAUGCCUCAUUUUCUCAUUGGAGCAGACCAUUGCAGCCUCAUCAGCUGGUUGAGUCUGUUGCAGUAGCAUGCGCGACCGUUCAACGGUAAAUGGGAAAACAGUGACAUUUUCUUGGAGAGAAGAUACCCCUAACCUACAGGAAGCGUUCAAAAAGUGCGCUGCUAUGCUACAAUAUUUGGCCCUCACUAAAUGAAGUACAUGUAGGCCUAGUUUUUUUUUCUGUGUAGCCUACAUGUACAUGUACAUGUAGGCCCUACUUAAGUCUUUGUUGUCACUCUAAGUCUAAUCCAUGUCACAUUUGCAGUUCUACAUGUACAUGUACAUUGUAACUGUACAACUUCUGCACACAGAAACUAAAAGAGGUGCUACAUUUUUUUCUGCAGAUAUUUGUAAAAAUUAUUAAAUUUAAAUAGAUACAUACAGUGCUAGAUACAUGUAAUGUAGCGGCCAAACUCAGAUUUCUUCUUUUUGCCUAGUGAGGGCACUGUACCAGAAAGAUGGUAACCAAGCUCUCCUUAGCAACAUAGAUUUAGCGUUGUAGAGUUUGCAACUUGUGUGUUAAAUUCUUCGCCCAAAGCAAUAAUCGCUGAGGUUUAUUAAACGGUUGGUACAGCAGUUUACUGUUAAACAAUUUCUAUAAAUUAUGUAGUGAUAAGUGUGAUAUUUAGUACCGUUUUAUAGCCUAUAAGUUGCAUUUUCAACGCAUUUGUUGGUUGCAUAGUCACGGUAUUGUGGAACCUGUUAAAAGCACAUGUACUGCAGGUCGAGAUUUAUACAGGGUGUACCUAAACCCUUCUUGCAUUUAGACAUCAGUAUUCUUUUAAUGUGGAGUAGCUAGUAUAAAUGCAAAUUGUUGGACUGACACUGGAUUUAGGUCAUAGUUGAUACACUCACUCCAUGUACAUGUACAUUGUAGGGGCCUACAUGUGUAUUUACAUAAACAUUGCUUUGGACAUGUGUGUGCAUGUGUUUGGAACAUGUAAGUGAUAUGUAAUGAGCUAAUUCUGUUACAAUAAGGUUACACAAAUACACAUGUACUGGGUAAUUUCUUGUAACAAAUACAUACAUUUUAUUUUCUAUUUUAUUGUAGUCAAUCUGUGCCUGACAUGUACCACUACAAAACUGUAUUAGCAGAAGUUGUACUACACAGUAAAGUUUCUGGAUCUGCAGCACAGCAUUGUCGUCUUUAAUCUUUGGCAGAUUCAUGUAAAUUUUACAGAGAGUUGUGUUACUAGGGGCCAAUCACAAGUUUAAACUUCACACUCCGCCCCCCAUCCCCCACCCAAUUCACCAAAUGUCCCAUCCUCCAGUGCCUCCAGCCCAACCCCCAUUCCACCCCUAACCCCCACCCCACCCCUGUCCCCCACCUUUGUCAAACAGAUAUCAGGAUAUUCAUAUUGCACAAAACUUAGAAUGGUGCACCUUUAGUUCAUUUUGUUCAAAUGUUUGUGUAAUCUCAUGAAAUGAUGUUAUAGUGUUACAGGUUGAGCAUGGUUAACUGUACAUACAUGAUAUUUUGAAAAGCACAAUUGUAUACAUUGUAUACUUCUCAACAAAAAAAUGUUUACAACACAAGUGAUAUUAAUAUAACUGCUAAUUUAACAUUACAAUGUGGGUUUUUUUGGAUGAGAUAUUAAAGCAGUGGUUUAAUAAUUAACUUGCGAAAUGUGAAUUGUACUUUUUUUCAGGCAGUUUCUUUAAGUUACACACAAAUAAUGCUUGCCCCAGUCUAGUACAAUGCAAUAAAUUAAAGCUCAAGAGUGGAAGGAAACCUUAAAAUGUUGUUUAAAAAAUCCUUUUACUAAA